ensembl:lncRNA
GGAAACCUGUUAAAGGUGCCAGUAAUGCUGUGGAAGGAUCUGAGAGAAGAAGGAGAAAAGUGGGAAUAGCCAUAAAGGAGGUUACUCACAGAUAGCUGUGAAGAAAUGAGACAGAAAAGGCGUGAGAGUGACCUGCUCUGAUGGUACUGCUGUUCCAGGACAUACUACACUCCAGCGGGUUUCUUCCCUUCAGUUGAAUGCAAACAUACAGACACUGAAAGGCCGCUCUCAGGUCUCCCUGGAGCCUUUUCCAGGCUGAACAGCCCCAGCUCUCUCAGCCUGUAGGAGAGAUGUUCCAUUCAGUCGAUCAUUUCUGUGGUCCUCCACUGGAUGCGCUCCAACAGAUCCACGUCUCUUCUGUACUGGGGACUCCACAUCUGGAUGCAGUGCUCCAGGUGAGGUCUCAACAGCACAAGACACGGUGCGGUCUGAUGUGUCCGGGAUGUGACUCGGUGUGUGACAGCGCGACCCCGGUCUGUAACCCAAUUUGUAACGCCAUGUGCAACACGAUGUGUGACUUGGUGCAUAAUACAGUCUGUGUCGCGGUGUGUGACCUGCUGUACAGCACAGCGCGUGGCCCACUG